GGUGUCAUCAAUAAAAGAUUUACCAACUAUGCUACUAUCUCAUUAAGCAUUUCAAUGCAUUAAAUCUAAUUUCUAGAUUUAACCUGGGUCAAGUGACACCCCUUCUUAUUUAGUGGGUCCGCCACUGAGCAUAAAUGAUUAAGUAGUGAAAUUUGACCUGAUUUUACUAUAUUUUUUGUUAGUUAUAAUACAACCUUAACGUUUACGAUGCAAUGCAUUGUUUUUUUUGUAGCCGUUGAUUUCAUUCCUUUUUUAGAAAGUGGUCUUCCUCUCUUUCCGGUUGAAUCUUUUCUUUUUGUAAUGUAAAAUUUACUGACCAAGAAAAGAAACCUUUUGCCUCCUUUGAUUUUGUUCAUGCUA